UUAGUGCAGAAGAUAAUAAGCCUUACGAGGAGAAGUAACAUCUUGAGAAGGAAGCUUACUUCCAGGUCAUUGCUAAGGAAAAACAUGAGAGAGAGAGAGAGAGAGAGAGAGAGGCCAUGAAGCUUCUGGACGAUGAGCAUAAGCUGAAAAUUGCAAUGGGUUUACUUGAUUAGUAUCUCCAGCUUGUGUAGGAAGCUAAACAAGACAAUAAGAAGAAGAGCAAGAAGCAUAAGGAUCCUCUGAAGCCAAAGCAUCCUAUACUUGCCUUCUUGGUUUAUGUUAACGAGAGGAGAGCUGCUUUCCGUGAAGAGAAUAAGAAUGUACUGGAGGUCACAAAGAUGACGGGAGAACUGGAAGAAGUUGUUAGACGAACAAAAAACACC